GGAGUUAGCCGGUGCUUCUUCUGUGAGUGAUGUCCUUCCUGCCGGCUAUUAACCCGCAGGCCUUCUUCCUCACUGAAAGUGCUUUACAACCCGAAGGCCUUCUUCACACACGCGGCAUGGCUGGAUCAGGGUUGCCCCCAUUGUCCAAUAUUCCCCACUGCUGCCUCCCGUAGGAGUCUGGGCCGUGUCUCAGUCCCAGUGUGGCUGAUCAUCCUCUCAGACCAGCUACGGAUCGUCGCCUUGGUGAGCCGUUACCUCACCAACCAGCUAAUCCGACAUAGGCUCAUCCGAUAGCGCGAGGCCCGAAGGUCCCCCGCUUUCCCCCGUAGGGCGUAUGCGGUAUUAGCCUGGGUUUCCCCAGGUUAUCCCCCACUACCGGGCAGAUUCCUAUGCAUUACUCACCCGUCCGCCGCUCGCCACCAGGGAGCAAGCUCCCCGUGCUGCCGCUCGACUUGCAUGUGUUAGGCCUGCCGCCAGCGUUCAAUCUGAGCCAGAAUCAACUCUGA
rnacentral:rRNA from 1 species